rnacentral:misc_RNA from 1 species
GGAAAAAAUCAUUCACAUUUCACAACAAUUAGAUUCUGAUACUUCCCCAAAAUUUGAAGGUCAGCAACCACUUAAAGAUUGUUUCAAGCACAGGUUGAUUAUCAGAGAGGCAAUUUUCCAUCAGACAGAUUAAAGAAUACUAUUAGUAAAUAAAAUAAAAACUAAUAUAAACAUUGAAAUGACAUAGUUUUCCAUCGACAUUUUGUGCGCUCUGCAAAGAUUAACACUGACAUGGCAAGAAAUCCCAAAAAAUGAUAUACAUUUCCCAGCUCUAUGCUUCAACAAAGCUUCGUUUGCCUCGUAAAUCCAAUUCUGAUGAGCAUACCAUUCCUUGAAUUUAUUUUUAAUUCCUACCCACCGGAAUCAAUCCCCUAUAUGUACACAAAAUCUGAAGACAGAAAUGCUUUAAUUUCCCGCCAGUAGCAUCACACUCAACUCUAUGGCUAACCAAAUCCAAAACCUUCACUCGCUUCAUGAAUGGCAAGCAGCAAACGUUCUUUAAGGUGUUCUUUGGAGGUAUACUCAGGAAGAUCAAGCUGGUUAAAGCAUGUGUGAGCUGAGGGCAACCGCUCAGGAGCUCCAUACGCUUUGUGAAUCUGAAAUCGUUGAGGACCAGAAAUACCCUGCAAUGCCUUGAAGCCCUCCAAUGGAACCUUUGAUGUUCCGGUAACAAAUUGCAGCAGUCUUGCCAUGUCUUCCUUGUUAAAACCUCUAACAACCUCCCAAAACCAUUGAACAACACUAGAUGCUGCAGUAUACCCAGUGUACUCAGUGCUGGCUUUUAGAUCAUCCAAAUCAAUUUCAGGAAGCCCACUUAUUAGAAGCUCAAGCUCUUUAUCAUUAAAAAUGGAAAUAAGUUCUGGAGGGACCAAUUCAUUGAACCCUUCCAAGAAGGAAUUGAUUUGAGGACGAAUAGCAUUUGUCAAGAUAUGAUCAGCAACAAGGUCUACAUACUCAUGCUUUGUUUCUUCUGUAACCCUUAUAUUUCUUCCUCCGGGUUUAAGCUCAUAAUCAGUAACCUCAGUUUUCUCAUAAAGGAUGUGCUUUUCUUCAUCAGCAUCCAUGCUGAAUGUCAAGUCAGGUAUAUCACUCACAUCAUUCUCUAGCAUCCAUUUCAAAUUCUUGUAAUAAUCAGGAUCAACAGCCUCUAUGUCAUGGUAAGUCACUUUUACUCCAAGAAUGUGUUUGUAGAAAGAUCGUGUAAAAUAAACAUCCAAAAGUUGGCCAUCAAAGAGUGCCUUCGCAACCACACGACCCACAAACUUGAAAUAAGAAAGAUGUUCAGUCUGAUACACAGAAUUAGGGUUUGGCUGGAAAGUCGCAUUAUUCCCCACAGUUGUGAAAAGCAAUGCUCCCUUGUCAAAUAUAACCCUUGACAAUAGUUGAUACCAUUCUCUUGUCAAACCUCCAGCAUCGAUACCUUCUUCACCUUGGAAUUGCACAUUCAACCGUCCCUUCAGAUCCUGACUAGGUCGCAUCCUCAACUGAUUGUAUGAAUCCUCCAAAACAUAUGCCCUCCGGACACUUAUCCGCAAAGGACCAGAGAGUUGUUGUUCAUGUUGUUGCCUUAUUCUUGAGCGGAAAUAUGCUCUCUUGUUGUCAAAAUCUAUCAGUUUUGGUGCUUUCAGCAUCAAAUAAAGUGAUUUCUCCAAUAAGCCAGGAUUCUGUCUUAUAAAAGUAUUCAAUAGCCGACGGUGCUUCUCAGCAAACCUGGCAAAUGUAACAGCACCAUCAAGCUUUCUCUGAGAAUCUACACUGCACGAUUUGGUCAAGGAAGAAGAGCCCCCAGCAGACUCUUUCACUUCUCUUGCAGUUACAUUGGCAUGGUCUUGCUGCAUGACAGACCUGUUUGCUUGUAGUUUUUCACACAAAACAAAGAACGCUUCAAUAAAAGGUAGUAACCUUUGGGUUCCAGCAGGAAGAGGAGAAGAACUCCCCUGGACAUGCUCCCCCAAAUUUAUAUUGGACAUGGAUUGACUAAAUGAGCCCUGACCCAGCUGUGUCUCAGUCACACUAAUGCAUUCACUCAGUUCUCGCCACAAGGGCUCAAGUGCAACAUUUAAAUUCCACAUGGUGGCCUGCUCCUCCUGUUCCCCAUCACUGUCCAGCCCUGUAUUCUCAUUAACACUGGAUGAGUUGAGCGAGCUGAGUGCCUGCAACACACGCAAGAUUGCUGCCCCAGCCAUGGAACCUGCACUAAGACCCAGCAUCUGUGUAUUCCUCAGAGUGACAAGCUCACUGACAGCUGAAUUGCUCAAACUAUGAGCUAAUUCUGAAAGCUCUGAACUGAAGAACUUCCGAUGGGAUAUGACAACAGAGGCCAACUUCUUUAGCACUUCACCAGCUAGCAUAUAAACUUUGUCUGACAACCCCUCACGACCAAGAAGGCUGCACAGAUUGCGCAAAUCAGGUAGUGGCAGCCGGAAGAAUAUAUUGCUUGUACUAAAGCUCCUCUUCCCAUCUGAAGUGGUUAACUCAGCAGUCGUAAACUUAUCUUCUUGAUUAGAUUCUGGUUCCAAUGGAGGACCUUUUUGAUCAUCACAUGAAGCUUCACUCACAUUUUGCUUUUCAGAAUUUGUGGUUUGAUGUCCAGACAGGGCUUGGCCCUCUGAUUUUGAUGCAGCUGUGUAAAUUACUACUUGAAGCAAUCCCAUAACCUGCUCAAGGUGUGCAUUGCUGCGUAAAAAAAGAGGUCGAUUCAAGAGCUUUAGGAACAGUAUCAAAGGAACGUCAUCUGCAUUUACCAAAGGUUUUGAUGGAUCACCACCACCUUCAAUUUUCUCCUUCCCCUUAUCCAUCUUAGCUUCCAAAUAGUUUGGACUUAAAUGCUCUGGGACUAUUGAGGGAUCCAAAUAGAACAACAUAUUUGCUAUAGAUGAAUGAUUUGUAGCCAAAUAUGUCAAAAUUUCAAGAAUUCGAUGCAAAACCAAGGGAGGAAGUCCAUCCAACAAUUGUGAUCGGCCAUAAACAACAUUUGACUGGCAGCCAUAAAGCCUCUGGGAGUUGACCAUUGCCAGUCCACUAAAUGACCCUUCAGCCUCAGGUUUAAUCAUAUCAAGCAUAAGUCGAACUAAAGUUGCCCUUGUAACACUAUGUGCACAGAGGUUUAACAGAAGUCUUUGCAGAAGGCCUUUCCCAAGGGGCUGAGACAGCCGUAGGAGGCGGAUCAAAGCUUUCAAUGCAUUGGCAUCCAGAAGUGGCUCACCUUCAAUUUCCUUAACCUUCAUGCUAUUUGCGAUUGCAGAAGCUGUCCUCCUUCCAAUGGUCACUCCUACACCCCUGUCCAUCACUGUCUGCCUAUCAGACCCCAAACCAUUUCUACGACUAGUCAAUCUGUGGCUGCCUCCAAAAAGGCUGCGAGCAUGAUAAUGACUCAUUGCCCGAUCCCUUAGCAUUUGGGCUUCAGCAAGCAAUGGAGAAGGUAAUGCUGAUAAUACAGCUUCUGAAGAAGUCAAAAGUACCUCUUCACGCAAAUCAGCAGGGAAAGUAGCAAUUAUUGAAGCAUUAUCCAUGUCAACAGGCUGUCCUUCAGCCUGCUGUGCAAUCCUCUGUGCUCUUUGUUGGGCCAAAACUUCUGCUUGAAUAUCUGGAGGAAGGGCAGCCAAAAACUCAGGAUCAAUAUCAUCAACUGGAGGUGGUGUGUAAGUUGGAGGUUGAUCAGACUGAGCUUGCUGGGAAGCUAAAACUUCCACCCGUAAAUCUUCGGGUAGUGCUUCCAAGAAGGUUGGAUCAAUUGCAUUUGCACCGGAAGCCUCGUUAUUUGCACUAACUUGGUCAGCCUGAUUAGUUUCCUGAGCAACCACUGUAUCUUGCCUGGACGAUGGCUCAUCCACAGCUUGCUCAGAAGCAUGAAUUGGUUGCUCCGACUGAUCUCCUUCAGCAUCAGUACCAUUCAUAUCAACAUCAACAUUUGAAGAAUCUAGAUUACCCAUUACAAAACCAGAAUCCAUGAACACAUGAUUAUUGGACGGACCAUCGUUUCUUGCAUGGCCAUCACAACCCACAGCUUGAACAGGCACAUCAUGGAGACUUGCAGGUGCUUCUGCAACUCCUUCACAUUGCAGAGCAGUAUAAUGUUCUGCAGAUGAGUUAACAGGCUCUGGUAUUGUCUCUACUUGAUCAAUUGCAGUUCCAAUGCCUUCCCCAAUUUCCAUGUUAUCAUGACCAUUUGGUGUACUAUUCAGCGAAAUUGUUUGAACUGACAUUGGCUCAUGAACCAGCAGACACACACUUGCGCCUUCAACUGGUGAUGAGAGAUUGACUUGCUCUUGGCCAGAAACAAUUUCAACUGUAGGAUUAAGCUGAUGUGUCGCUUCGUUACCACUUUCUUGUUGCUGAACUUCAGUUUGCUGGCUGCUAGUGUUAUCACCUCCCAAUACUACUUGGCCAUCAUUAGAUGGAGGGCCAUUAGAUGGUUGACUCUCUAGUGCUCCUGAAUGAUGGGACUGCCUUUCAGCAUGACCACUGACUGGAGUGAGACUGCGCAAGUGAGACAGGAAGGUUUCCUCUAUUGCUUGUGCAAUUACAGCACCCUGGGUACUUGCCUGUGGCUGACCAUCAUCAGUCCACCGACCAUCCCCUGGACCUCUUCGGCCCUGUAUCUGCAAUGAGUCCAUACCUACUGAAUAAUCAGUCAAUGGUGGGGGUGCUGCACUACCCAAACGAUCACCAAAGAAACUACUUGGCACAUGAUCAUAUGGAAGAACAGGAGCAUCAAACAUGUAAAAGUGAGCUACAUCAGAACUACCAGCUGAAAGGGCUUCUAAAUCCCUCGACGAAUGUCCACCUGAUGACCACAUAGAAACUAGAUCCCCUGAUUGUGAUGGCCUUAGGAGAAGUGGAUGUUGAAACCCAUUAGAUUCGGCAACAGAUCGCUCAAAGGAUGACCUACCACUCUGACGCCGGCGCUCAAAACCCAGAGGCCUGCGAAGACCAAAAAGGUCAUCUACAUUCACCCCUUCAAAAGGCUCAGCUGCAACAUCAAUUAGACUGCUUGCAGCUCCAGGUUGGCCAAGUACCUGUAAAUGAUCUAGCCCAUCAAAGGCUUCCCUCCACCUUACCUCUAUGACACGAUGCUCAUGAAAAUCAUCAUCUUCAUCAAUCAUCGCAUCAUUGUAGUCAUCCCCCAAACCAGUAUCAUCAUGGUCUUCCACAUCAGUAUCUGCUAGAGACAUCAUGCCAGUACCAUCUUCAGCAAUAUCCUCAUCCUCAUCCUCUCCAUCAUCAUCAUCUUCAUCUUCCUCACCCUCAUCUCCCAUGUCAUCAUCUUCAUCACCCAUAUCAUCAUCUGCCCUAUUCUCAACCCGAAAUGUCAUAUCAAUUUGGUCAGUGUUGUGUAAAACACCACCUUCUUCCAUUUCUUCACGCAUGAAAUCCAUCCCAAUCUCCAUAGGUGGGUUGUUGGCCAUUGUCUCUUCCACUUCUAUCCUCAUAUCUUGUGGAGCAGACUGAUUUGGAUGUGCAUCAAGAUUACCCUCACUACCCUCACUUUGAUUAGGAACUUGGCUUUGUUCUUCAGUCUCCUCUCCAUUUGGAACUUCUGCUGUUCCACUGCUAUUCUGAUUAUGUUCUACCACCUCAGAAGCUGAUAUAGUUGUCUGAUCGAUUUGUCUUCCAUUUGAUGCAAUUGUUUUCUUCUUGUUCAAACCCUCAGAUUUAAGAACUUGCUCACUGGCAUUUGCAGCUCUUGUGAGGCUUUCCAAAGCCUUGAGUAGUAGAUUAACAAUCUUGGGAGCAUCAGGAUGGUCCAAAUCAAUUACCUGGAGAAUACCUGUUAGACAUUGCACCAUGCCCCCAUCUAUCAUGCUUUUUGCAAUAUCCGGUGAACAUCCAGAACCAGGUAAGUUGCUAGAGGAUGCAUUUUUUGACAAAAUAGAAUACAACAAAUCAGCAAAUGCAAAAACUUUUUUAUCAGGCACUAGCAUGCUUUUACUUGAAUUGCUCUCCAAGUUUGAGAAUGACGAAAUAGCUUUAACAAGUUCAAUAAUCACUCGCCUCCGCCCUUCCCCAGAUCGGCCGCAUAGAACCACCAGGAACCAUGAAGCCCUUUCAGACAACUUGUCCCUCCAUUCAUCAGGCCGUGCAGAUUUGUCAGUGGAUAUUGGAAGCAGCUGAUGCAAGACAUGAUAAAGUAUCCCACCAUGCCCUGGCCUAUCUGUUUGACUAGAUCCACGGAGUUGACACAAUUCUGAAUCCCGCCUCAGAAUCAACCCAACUGCAUGCACAUACAUAAGAAGAAUUUCACUCAACAACUUGAGAACAAAAGUCACCUUGGCCAUACCAGCAGAUCUUUCUGAUUCAGAUUCCACUUUCCUUGUUUCAUCAACCUUGGAUUUGCCCUUCACCUUGGUAGCAGGUUCAUCCACCUCCAUAGAAGUUGAGUCACUUGUACAACCUUCCUCAUUUUUCGGCAAAGGAUAUUUCAAGACAAUGUCCAGAAGCUGAUCAAUUACUUGAGUAAGAUUGGCAGGAAUCUUUUUAUGGCCUUUGGCACAUUUACCUACACCAUCGUGUACCUUGUUUUCAGAAAUCCGGACAGAUUCAUCACCACCUGAUGCUUUUGAUUUGUCCUUUUCCUUCUCUUUUUCUUUUGAUAACACCACAAGGGUCCUCCCCCCUGAUAAUUCCAACUGACAAACUGCAGCUGCAGCUUUCAUAAACACCACAGGAUCUCUAGAAAUAACAGGUGCCAUUUUUGUCAAAAAUGUCCGAGGGUUAGUACGCCCCACAUGCCUGUUUCCACUCAAAGUUUGCCUUAUCUCCAAUUCCAUAGCAGUUUGCAGACUCUGAGGAUCUUCAAUGAGAUGUCGAAUGAUAGCAGAAGCAACUCCAGGGAAAAAGCAACUCCAUGGAAUAUUAAAAAGAGCUGCUAAGCCUCCAUUUUCAAGAAACUGCAGUGCCAAAGCAUGAGUUUUUGUCAAGCGAGCACAUACCUGCAAAGCAGCCUGCAUUAUGACAGCGGGAACAUGUUGCUUCAUCAAGUCACAAGCAAGUAGGAGCACCUUAUGACUCUCUUCAAUCGUCAAAUAACCAGUAGACUUUCCCAAUAUUUUCUCAAAUGCUGCGCCAGUUUCUUUCACAGGAACAUUUGAAGUCAUUUUCCCUUCUAGGAUUGAUGCAGGAACUGAAGAAUCUGGCAGAGAUCCUGUCUGAGUCCCUUCCAGAGCUUCAGAAGAGAUUCUAGGCCUGGACUGCAACAUAUUGUCCAAGAUAAGCAGCAAAGCACUGAUGCAUCUUGGGACAAGAAUCUCAUUUGCUGAUGCAUUGCUGGCCUUGAAAUUCAUCAAGAUAUCUAUUGUGGCAGGUAUGAUACCAUUCUCUGCAGCAAUUUCACGUACAGUUCCAUCCUCAAAAAGCAGCAGUGCUAAAAUAUGUGAUAUCAUACACAAUGCACUAGAAUCCUUUGAAAAAUCCAAUGGACAAAGUUUUAGCUGCUGAAUAAGAUAAGAUGCCACCUUUGGACGGUCCUCUCCUUUGUUUCGGUUGCAAAGGGUGACUAAUAAAUCUGUCAAUGAGAAUGCCAUUGUAUCACUACUCUGAAAUAACUUCACUGAUGCUGCAAGAAUAUCAUCAACGGGAGGUGCCUUCAUUUGUGCUUCUUCUGUCAGUAGAUCUAUUGACUUGUCUACAUUGUCAACUUUAGAUCCUUCUGACGAGCUCCCUAGUGACAAAGCAAGUGCUCGAGCCAGUUCAUCAUCCUCCUGCACAGGAUCAUCAGCAUGAUUAAACAGCCACUCCAUGGCCAUUUCAACACUAUUUGUUUCUACCCUUCUCAAUGCUUCCUCAGCUCUUGCCCUUGAGAAGCCCAUUUCUACAAUAGUUGCAAUGGUUCCCUCAUCAGGAGGUGGUGGCAUGAACCUUUGAUUUGUGCUUCCUGCAAUGCCACUGCGAUUCCUUUUUACAUCUCCAACACCAGAGUAUACGUGUGUAACAACUGAAACAAUAGAAGCAAUGAAUCCUGGACUACAAUUUGGAAACAUAGGAUGGUUCCAGACAGGCAAUAUCACAUCCAGAACCUGAGAUUGCAACAUGCGAACAAAAACUUCAGGAUCCCUUGGAACAGGAAACAGACCAAUUGAUAAACUGACUGCAACCGGCUGGACAAGCAACUGGGCCUGGGAUGCAGAGGUUGCAGACAAGAGUAAAGAGGAGUUAACAAAGUACUCAAGCACACGGCAAUAGCUUUGCAAUGUGUCAAGCAGCCACGUACAUUGAGAUAAUUUAUUUCCUUCACUUGCCUUCUCAUGCUCAGCAGUAUGUGCUGGAAAAGGGUAUGGUAGAGUCCACAAUAGUUGACUUGUGGCUUCGAACGUGGCAAGCAGCUCCCUAAAGGUUCCAUGUACAUAAAAAUUAUUAACCAUUGCUGUGUAGCAAGUUCUACGUCUACUGUCAAAUGUGAGAGCUGCCAUAUCAUCCACAAUCUUUCCAAGAUAUCUACAUUUCACUGACAGUGACAUAUCAAGCCCAGAGGUAGAAUACCCAGAGAAACUGAAAGCCUCAAGAAAUAUUUUUGCCAGGGCAGUUCCAAGGGUUUUUGACACUGAACUCAAUGACCCUAAAUCAGCUCUACGACGGUUAGGUGAUGUAAAUCCUUUGACAAGGGCAGUGAAGAAAGAACGCAAAGUGGAUGCCAGCUUGUUCAGAAUUUCCAGGACAAGAACAUCUGGACUUAUCUUUUUCACAUCCAAGGAUGAUGUCUCCAGUACAUUUGAAGGAACUUCAGAAUCAAUGUUUAAAGCAUCCAGGUGGCGAGCAGUCCUCCCACCACGCAUGCGUGCCAAUCCAUGUCGACUACGACGGUGUAAGCCUUCUCCUGAACGAAGAACUGAAAGAAACUCCCGCUCUCCACCCCACACGGACUGUGAACCAUUCCUAAUAGAAACUGGGUUCAUGUAUCUCACAACUGGAAUAUUUGUGUCAUCAUCACUAUCUCUUCCAACAACAUUAGAGGACGAUGCAUCUGCAUUCUCAAUUUCUUGAUCUGUAUGCCUCUUCUCAUCCACUUCGGAGUCAUUACACAAAGAAAUUUGCCAAAUUAUUUCGCGGUAUGUCUUCCCUAAAUCCUUCAAAAUAUCAGCAUCUGCCGUGCCUAACUCAGAAACAACAGUAGUAGUCCCCUUCAACAAAAAAUUGGACAGAGAGAGUAAACCCUCAAGGCUGGAAAGAUAUCUCAGAACCUUUGUCUGGUUAGCAGAUUCUACAGCAGCAAGCUGAGUUCCUCCAACUGAAACUAAAAGCUCAUUUAUGCAUUUCAGAUGUUCUCUCAAGAAUGAGCAUACUGCCCGAGCCAAAGAAGCAGAAUGCUGCUGUGAGAAGUUCUUGAAGGCAAUAGAGAUACUCUGACCAAUAGAUGCUGAAAGGGGCAUUAGAGGCAAGUUAAAUAAUUGCAGAACAGCAUCAAUCCCCUUCUUCUCAAUAAAUAUACGGCAUGUGUCAGCAUUCUGAAGAAUUGUUUCAAGAAGACGUGCAGCAUUGCUUACGCAAUCAGGAAGGAAUGAUUCAAUAUUCACUAUUGUAGCAUCGGAAGUCAAUUCAGUGGGAUGCUCUGAAUUAUCCGUUCUGAUAGAUUCCCUAUCAUCUGAUGGAACCGAACACUUUUCUUCAGCAUCAGUUUCCAUAGGAACAGGAGUAGAGCAGCAAGGAGGAUCUAAGGAUGAGUAAGGAGCAUCACCUCCAUACCCAAUUUUUGAAAUGCCAUUCAAGAUUUCAAUAAGCAUAUCCACUCCAGGUCCACGCAAAGAAGAAGCAUGGCGCAUUAGUUCAUCCAGUCCAGUAGACAAGGACCCUGGCGUCUCACCAGCGAGGGCACGCAAAUGUGUUCUAGAUGUAAAUAUUUUCACAAAGCAACUCAAAGCAUUACGAUCUUUUACUGCCUGCAGACCAUUAUUGUUCAAGCACAAGGCAUCCAAACAUUGAGGUAUGCACAUUAUGGCUUCUGCAGAGCAGAGAACACCAUCCAUUAUAGCAUCUAGGAAUGCAGAAGGAAGACCAGCAGCAUCUAGUACAGAAAAACAGGUAGGAUCUUUGUGAAUUAGAUCACUCAUAACAGUUGCUGCAAGUGAAAACACCCCACCGCCAAAAUCUUUUGCUCUUCUAAAGAUUAUGCAUAGGCAUUGCGGCAACAAACUCUCUUCAGAUCCAUAGACACGAGAAGUGUUACCAGGGGCAUAUGUUCCAAGGGAUAUAGCACGCAAUAAAUUUUUCAUAAGUACCCGCCGAUGAUAUGACACCAGUGCCCCAGAAUACAGAGGGUGCAUAUUAUCUAGCUCAGAGGAAGCAACUGAAACUGCUUGCAGACUUCUCACCCUCAAAUCAGAAUCUUCACCUUGUUGCUUUGAACUAUUUUCUACAUAUGCAACUUCUACCUUCAAGCGAGAGAUGGUAUCAUCUAAACCACCCAACUCUCUGAACAGUGCAGCAGCUGGGUUACUGAAAUCCAUGAAAGUUUCUAGAAUAUGCACUGCUGUGCCAACCAAAUGCAAGUGUUGAGGAUCUGUGUCCUUAAGCAGAGGCAGAAGAGUAGGAAUAAACCCUGCUUCACGCAUGGCUGAGCAACCUGAUGAUGAUGAGACCAAAACAGUGACAAGAGACAAUAAAGCCUCAGCAAAAACAACAGACCAUUUUGAUGUACCACUGAUAACAGAGUCAAUGGCUUUCUGCAUUAGGCUAGAUAAGAUGCCGCGAUGCCCACCAGAUGUGACAGCAGCUAAUACAGUUGGCUGGCGGGACCGAUCUUGAGAAAGAGCAACCAACGAUAGGAGACAUAAGAUUCUAAUUUUCUCAGGAACUGCAUCUUCAUAACUCAGCAGCGAAACUAACUCAUUUACAAACUCUGGCUCAGAGUUAAAAAAGGAAACUAGGUCAUCAGCAUCACUACUUGCUUGAACAAGAACAAUGAAGGCAUACAGUCGAAUGCAUGUAUACUGUUGGCGAGAAGCUAAAGAGCCAAAAGCCCUUGCAAACCGCAAUCUUGUCAACAGUGAGAAUCUUAAACUGGGUGGUACUUUGUACUCUGCAACUAACUUAUUCAAAAGCUCUAGAUCUGUUUCUGGACGAGUAUUAACAUUCAGUAAAUGAAUGAUUUGUAGACCUCGAUUUGACUGAUCUUCAGUGUGGUUCUCACUUAAUGACUCAUCCAGCGCAUAGAACUCAAAAUGGAGUGUGCAACCUAACUCAUAUGCAACAGGAUCGCACCCAUUUUGCACAGUACAUGCAAUCAAUCCAAGACCCUCUUCCUUUCCACCCCAGCCUUGCGCCAGAGAAAAUAGCUUUGCAUUCAGAAAAGAAUCUCGAAUGGAAUAUUUUCCAAUAGUUUUUCUCAGAAAUGCAGCCAAAGUCUGCAGGCAAGCCUCUAUCACAUCUGCAUCUGUGGAAGCAAGAAGGAAAGAAAGAUGCUGCUCAUAAGAACUAUAAAAAUGCUUAUUUGUGCAAUUCUCCAAAAUUAUUCUGAUAACACGGAGAAUUUGAAGAACAGCUUCUCUAGGAAAGGGAGGAUCAGAUUCCAAAAAAUUGUCCUCAACCUGCAGAUCUUUUCUUUGUUUUAUGUGCUUCUCAAAAAAUGAAUCAAAAUGGUUAAAAAGAUCAACCCAAUGAUGAAAAUCUCCCUUAUCGAACUCCCAUACAAAACCUUUUAGGGGUUCUUCUAUAUUCUCGAGUGGAGCAGUGGUAACACUGUUGAUGAAGGACUUAAUUUUGGAAGGCACUUCCAAAGGCCGCCUCCGCUUGAGCUUCAUCUUGAAUCAAAAAGCAUUGCAGGAGCAAAAAGAAAGCGAUCGAGAAUCGACCAAUUCUCCAAAAUCGAGAAUCGAUCGAUGUACCAAAAGGGAACAAAAUUAGCAACAAUUAGUAGGCAAUAUCAAAUUUCAACUACAAAAGUAGGGUUUUUCAUUCACUUUUCACAGUGAUCGGAUCCCACUAAAAAACCAUAAAGAGGAAAAAUAAAUAAGCGAUGAUUAGAGAUUAAAUAUAAAGAAGGAUUGAUUUUGCAAUAAAAAUUAGGGGUUUUCUAUAAAGAUCGAGUAUGUGUUUUGUGUAUAUAUAAUCUAUAUUAUAGAGAGAGAAUUGUAAAGAUAGAAUGACAAAAUAGAGGCUUAGAGAGAAGUGGAGAAGAAUUCUAACUAAGAAGAAAGCUAAGGA